ACGAGGUGGAAAUGUAGGUCAAU
rnacentral:piRNA from 1 species